rnacentral:rRNA from 1 species
UACAGGGGGGGCAAGCGUUGUUCGGAAUUACUGGGCGUAAAGGGUUUGUAGGUGGCUUGUUAAGUCAGACGUGAAAUCCCUCAGCUUAACUGGGGAACUGCGUCUGAUACUGGCGAGCUUGAGUGCAGGAGAGGAACGCGGAAUUCCAGGUGUAGCGGUGAAAUGCGUAGAUAUCUGGAGGAACACCGGUGGCGAAGGCGGCGUUCUGGACUGUAACUGACACUGAGAAACGAAAGCCAGGGUAGCAAACGGG